GCCACUAUUUCCCAGUGUGGGGAAAACUUAUUCAGUCACUGGAACUCAAUCCCAACGUUUCUAGUUGUUUCUGGUCCAGUGGAGGCUCCAUGGGAACACCUAGUCUUUGUUGAAAUCUGUCCAGGGAUUCAGGCCUUCUCACAGACUGUGUCCCCUAUAGCACUAUGGUGCCAGCCAGUCUCUUCAAUGUGGUGUCCAUACUGAUUGGAGUGAAGAGUUAACUGCCAAGAUCCACGUGCCAGUCACUAUGAUCAGUGUCCCACUCUUUGUCUCAUUUCAUCCAAGGUUGGUCAGCCCUUCUGACACUCCCAAUUGUUCCCAUGGGAUGGGGCAGAAGUGGGCUUCCUGAGAAGAUUCCCAGACUGGUGGGGAGAUCGUAUGUCCACUUCCAACUCCCUCUUCUUACCUUAGAAACCAUGAGUCUAGGAAAAUUCUCUAUGAGCGACAUUAUGCCAGCUUGAUGGAGGGGGCUGCAAUGUCUGAAACAGCCAUUUUUCAUACCUGUCACAGCUUCUCUCAAUUCUGAGGGCCCCGGAGGUUUCUUCAAUUCUCCCUUGAAUUGUGGUGAACUCAGGGUUGUGUUCUUGUCUUUAAGUAGUUUCUAGUUGUAUUUUUAUGGAGGGAGUGAUAGUAGGGGAUCCUCCAUUUCAUUAUCUUGCUGAUGUUACUCCCUCAUUUCAAUUUAGCUUAAAUUUCUUCCUGAAGCUUUUCAACCACUUAAUUGAACCUUUUCUAUUGGAAACACAAAAUAAUAACAGGAAGUAAAACAAGGAAUUGUUAUAAUCAUAAAACAGAAACAUAAAAUAUAAAAACAACAUCUAUCUAUACCAGUUGCAUGUAAGUAAUUUUUUUGGUUGUUGCAGAAAUUAAACUGAUGAGGCUCUGCAUCAGUUUCUGUGGAAAAUGAAGAAUGAUUUUUAAUUGCAAAGAUAAUAAUGACAUCGGAAUCCCCAAAUCUAGCCCUGAUUUCCAGGCCUCUCCUUUUCUGACAUUUGUUGCAUGUACUCUCUUUACUCCUUCUCUCCUUGUGAUUUUUUUCUUACUCGGUUUUCUUCAGCACACCUCCCACCUCUCUUUUGGUCCUUCUGCCUCACUGAAUGCUUCCUUUCAGGUUGGCUUUUUU
rnacentral:lncRNA from 1 species